rnacentral:rRNA from 1 species
GCCUACGGGGGGCUGCAGUGGGGAAUAUUGGACAAUGGGCGAAAGCCUGAUCCAGCAAUGCCGCGUGAGUGAUGAAGGCCCUAGGGUUGUAAAGCUCUUUUACCCGGGAUGAUAAUGACAGUACCGGGAGAAUAAGCUCCGGCUAACUUCGUGCCAGCAGCCGCGGUAAUACGAGGGGAGCUAGCGUUAUUCGGAAUUACUGGGCGUAAAGCGCACGUAGGCGGCUUUGUAAGUUAGAGGUGAAAGCCCAGAGCUCAACUCUGGAAUUGCCUUUAAGACUGCAUCGCUUGAAUCCAGGAGAGGUGAGUGGAAUUCCGAGUGUAGAGGUGAAAUUCGUAGAUAUUCGGAAGAACACCAGUGGCGAAGGCGGCUCACUGGACUGGUAUUGACGCUGAGGUGCGAAAGCGUGGGGAGCAAACAGGAUUAGAUACCCGAGUAGUCGG